AUUGAACGCUGGCGGCAGGCCUAACACAUGCAAGUCGAACGAGUGGCGGACGGGUGAGUAAUUUCUGGGCAACUGCCUGAUGGAGGGGGAUAACUACUGGAAACGGUAGCUAAUACCGCAUACCAUCGGAUGUGCCCAGAUGGGAUUAGCUAGUAGGGGUGGUAACGGCUCACCUAGGCGACGAUCCCUAGCUGGUCUGAGAGGAUGACCAGCCACACUGGAACUGAGACACGGUCCAGACUCCUACGGGAGGCAGCAGUGGGGAAUAUUGCACAAUGGGCGCAAGCCUGAUGCAGCCAUGCCGCGUGUAUGAAGAAGGCUUUCGGGUUGUAAAGUACUUUCAGCGGGGAGGCGUUACUCGCAGAAGAAGCACCGGCUAACUACGUGCCAGCAGCCGCGGUAAUAC
rnacentral:rRNA from 1 species